rnacentral:ncRNA from 1 species
GCCCAUGUGGUAUGCUGACGUUAUUGGAAACAACCGUAGCGCGUUCUUGAAUGCGCAGGACAGCUAAGCCACAUGGGUUU